UACCAGCUCUCCGAGUGGUAGGGACGAUUAUUGGGCCUAAAGCGUCCGUAGCCGGCCAAGCAAGUUUCCCGUUAAAUCCAGCGAUCCAAUCGUUGGACUGCGGGAAAUACUGUUUGGCUAGGGGGCGAGAGAGGCCAACGGUACUCUCGGGGUAGGGGUGAAAUCCUAUAAUCCCGGGAAGACCACCAGUGGCGAAGGCUGUUGGCUAGAACGCGCUCGACGGUGAGGGACGAAAGCUGGGGGAGCGAACCGGAUUAGAUACCCGGGUAGUCCCAGCUGUAAACGAUGCGGGCUAGGUGUUAGGGCGGCUACGAGCCGCUCUAGUGCCGCAGGGAAGCCAUUAAGCCCGCCGCCUGGGGAGUACGGCCGCAAGGCUGAAACUUAAAGGAAUUGGCGGGGGAGCACCACCAGGGGUGAAGCUUGCGGUUUAAUUGGAGUCAACACCGGAAACCUUACCGGGGGCGACAGCAGAGUGAAGGCCAGAUUAAGGGUCUUGCCAGACAAGCUGAGGGGAGGUGCAUGGCCGUCGCCAGUUCGUGCCGUGAGGUGUCCUGUUAAGUCAGGCAACGAUCGAGACCCACACCCCCUGUUGCCACUGAGGAAAUUUUCCGAUGGGGCACUCUGGGAGGACUGCCGCCGAUAAGGCGGAGGAAGGAGUGGGCCACGGCAGGUCAGUAUGCCCCGAAUCCCCCGGGCCACACGCGAGCUGCAAUGGUAGGGACAAUGGGUUCCAACCCCGAAAGGGGACGGUAAUCCUCAAACCCUGCCUCAGUUGGGAUCGAGGGCUGUAACCCGCCCUCGUGAACAUGGAAUCCCUAGUAAUCGCGCGUCAUCAGCGCGCGGUGAAUACGUCCCCGCUCCU
rnacentral:rRNA from 1 species